UGUGUGUGUGUGUGUAGACUACACGGUGUUUGUUGCGGUCUCAGAAUGCAGAGCUGCCCUUACUUGACUUAUUAAUCUUGCGUUUCCUGCCCUCCCACUGUGUAUCUGGGUAUAAAAACUUCACACCACUGUGAAUCCUCCGCCUCCCGCUUUCCUCUGGAUCACACUACAACAGCUUCAUGCCUGCCUGCCACAGGGCCCUCCACUCCUGCUGUUUCCGCCGGGCCACUGCACAAAAUCGGCACUUGGCCCACUCCCAAGCCGUUCCCACAUGCCUCCCAAUUUCGAGAUUAAAUAGCGCCUGUCUCUGAAGUCCUUCCAGAGGCUAAUGGCUUUUGUUGCUGGGAAUAAUCCGCACAUCCUCUCCCACAUCCCAGGGGUCCACUGGCCUGUUGUGAACACCGCCUCGGUGUCUCAUCAUCGUCUCAAUCUUCCAUUUUGGUUGACCUCCCAACCUUCCGAAGGCACAACUCCCCCGCUGUGACGUGCGUGGGCAACUUGGGACCUGAACCACCCGGGACGAAGGGAGGAUUCAAACUGGAAAACCCUGCUGGCACGAUGAGAACAUCAAGGCGGGGGAAAGGAUGAACUCCCAGAACUGCCUGGGCUGCGG